AAAAAGGGUCUGAUCUAAUGCCAGUGGACUGAGUGGGGGCCCCAGCAAGGCCUGGUGAGACUCUUCUUGGCCUCUCAGGGCAGCAUUUCUUCCUUCUGGUUAUCAGACAGGACCCUCUCUGGAAUGGGGGUCUUAUGAAUUACGGGCAAACAAGAUAGGUCAGAUAAUUUCUUUAUGGCCAGUUUUUACAGGGAAGUGGCAACAGGGGGUGGUUUUAGAGUAAUAGUUUUAGGUUUUGUGGCUGGCUUUGAGGGAAAGAGGUUCUGGUUUCUAUGACCACCUAGGGGAAGAGGGAUUCUGGUUUUCAGCUUCAGGGCAGAAUGAAGGGCCAGAAACAGGAGGGAAGGAGGUCAGAGAGAGCUGCUUCUGAAGCCUUCAUUUUGGGGUGUUGUAUUCUGAGACCCUCACUAGUCACAGAACCCCAUCCAACCACAAGGAAUCUGGGCAGUGCAAUCCUACUAUAAGUCCAGAACGCAUCCUGAGGAGCACUAAAGACAAUCUCAGAUGCAGAAAUGAGAAACAAGCUCUGAGAGAUGGAAUCAAUGGGACAUUGGAAUUGUCUCGGGCAGGAGGAAGAUACCCUUCCCUCUCCCCUCCCCCACUGAGGCAAGACAGAAGCAUAUGCGUUUCCGAUUGCUGCUGUGACAAAUUUUCACAAACAUAGCAACUUAAACCACACAAAUUUAUAUCUUUACAGUUAUGUAGAUCAGAAGCCUUGGCUGGUUGCUCUGCUGUGGGAUUCACAAGGCCAAAAUUAAGGUGUUGGUUCACUGGGUUCC
rnacentral:lncRNA from 1 species